UAUAUGAAAUCUUGACUGGGUAACAAAUCUUUUUUUUUUUGGAAAGUCAAAAUCCAAAAAACAACUUAAAAUCUACGAACAAUCUAAGGUCUUAUUAACACACUUGAAUUUCUUAUUUCACAGAUUUGACAUUUGAUCCUCAGAAAUGACUUCGCCGUCUUCUACUUCCAUGCCACCGUUGAUGAAAGGCGGAGAGCCGAAACCAGGCGGAUCUUCUGACGGAUUUGACGUCUUCGAUUCCGCAACAUCUCAGCGUGACUGAGAUACUAGACAACGCUCAGAAGGUGUGCAGACCGUGGCGACAUGUCUCUAAAGACCCAUCGAUGUGGCAUAAGAUCUACAUCACCUCAAACCAAAGGUGAUCGAUCUUGUGGCCAUGUCAGAUCACUAUUGGGCACAAGAUCGCCGACAGACUUUCAUACGCGGGGAGAGCAGAGAGUGAGCUUUGCGUGACCGCUUGAGAAUGCAAAGCCAGACUAUAAAAACACUUUGCCGUGUUUACAUAUUGAGGUGUCUGUGAUGAAUGCAUAGGGUUCUUAAUGCAUAGGGUUCGACUCCACAGCUACUCAUUGCUUCGUUACCCCAAAGUGUGCUGAGAGGGGCAACAUUCAUAGAGAUCCCAUAGAGCAGUUCAGGAGCGUUAAGAUUGCUGGAGGCGGGAUGAUCCAGGUCCAUGGACGUGCGAGAGUAGGGAUAUUCAGGUGGCUGGGGAGUCAAUGCCGGCAAACCUGGUUAUUAGUCCAGUGAAGUUGUAUGAUGUGAUUUUGGGCAUGGAUUGGUUACACCUGUAUGGAGUACAUUUGGAUUGUCAUCAGGGUAGAGUUGUAUUUGAGAGGCCUGGAGUGAGGAGUUGGUUUUAUGAGAGAGUGAGGCCAACCUUGGGGAGUCUGGUUAUAUCAGCUGUGCAGGCAGAGAAGAUGAACAGGAAGGGUCGGGAGGUGUAUUUGGCUACGAUAUUGAUGACGGAGUCUGUAGGACAGGUUGCUGUGGGUGAAAUCUCUAUGGUUCGGGAAUUUGAAAAUGUUUUUCAGUUGUUGCAGGAGUUACCACCAUCUUGAUUUGAUCCUUUUACGAUUGAGUUGUAACCAGAAACUAUGCCAUUGUCCAAAGUACCCUUCCUCACCAUUGACUAGUAACCCAUAACACCAACUUUGGCUGCACGACGAACAAAUAUAAUUUUCUAGUACUGUAGAUUUUAAAAAUCCUUGCAGAACAAAUAUAAUUUUCUAGUAGAUUUUAAAAAUCCUUGCAGAA